rnacentral:rRNA from 1 species
GGCCUUAUACAUGCAAGUCGAGCGCAUCCUUCGGGAUGAGCGGCGGACGGGUGAGUAACGCGUGGGAAUGUGCCCUUCUCUACGGAAUAGCCACUGGAAACGGUGAGUAAUACCGUAUACGCCCUCAGGGGGAAAGAUUUAUCGGAGAAGGAUCAGCCCGCGUUAGAUUAGGUAGUUGGUGGGGUAAUGGCCUACCAAGCCUACGAUCUAUAGCUGGUUUUAGAGGAUGAUCAGCCACACUGGGACUGAGACACGGCCCAGACUCCUACGGGAGGCAGCAGUAGGGAAUCUUGGGCAAUGGGGGCAACCCUGAUCCAGCCAUGCCGCGUGAGUGAAGAAGGCCCUAGGGUCGUAAAGCUCUUUCGCCUGUGAUGAUAACGACAGUAGCAGGUAAAGAAACCCCGGCUAACUCCGUGCCAGCAGCCGCGGUAAUACGGAGGGGGUUAGCGUUGUUCGGAAUUACUGGGCGUAAAGCGCGCGUAGGCGGAUUGGAAAGUUGGGGAAUCACUAGUGAAUUCGCGGCCGCCUGCAGGUCGACCAUAUGGGAGAGCUCCCAACGCGUUGGAUGCAUAGCUUGAGUAUUCUAUAGUGUCACCUAAAUAGCUUGGCGUAAUCAUGGUCAUAGUUUGUUUUGUCUGAGA